rnacentral:rRNA from 1 species
UACGUACGGGAGGCAGCAGUGAGGAAUAUUGGUCAAUGGAUGCAAAUCUGAACCAGCCAAGUAGCGUGCAGGAUGACGGCCCUAUGGGUUGUAAACUGCUUUUAUGCGGGGAUAAAGUUGGGGACGUGUCCCUUUUUGCAGGUACCCGCAUGAAUAAGGACCGGCUAAUUCCGUGCCAGCAGCCGCGGUAAUCGUA